rnacentral:rRNA from 1 species
UAGCCGUAAACGAUACUCGCUAGGUGUCGGCCACGGUGCGACCGUUGUCGGUGCCGUAGGGAAGCCGUGAAGCGAGCCACCUGGGAAGUACGGCCGCAAGGCUGAAACUUAAAGGAAUUGGCGGGGGAGCACAACAACGGGUGGAGCUUGCGGUUUAAUUGGAUUCAACGCCGGAAAUCUUACCGGGACCGACAGCAACAUGAAGGCCAAAGCUGAAGACUUUGCCGGAUUAGCUGAGAGGUGGUGCAUGGCGUAGUCGUGU